UUUUUCUAUCUCAGCUCGUUACCGUAACACCUGCCCGACCCCUGUUUGGUUUUGUCCUUUCUGAAUUUUCGGCACGGUUUUCCCUUUUCAUUCGAGCAUCACUGUUUCGAUAAAGCAGAGAGAGAGAGAGAGAGAGAGAGAGGAAGGGGCACUCGAGCGGAGGAGGAGGAGACCAGGCGAUUCGUGUUGUUCAUGUCGAUUCUGAGACCCUCCUCCCCCCACCUGUCGAGUUUGAUUUCUCUCCCCUUCCUCUUCGAUUCAUGACGUCUUCGGUUGGUCGGCCUCGUCAUUCUCCCUCCCGCGCAUGAUUUUUGAUUGUUUCUGGGUGUGUGGCUUUCCAGAUCUAGGUGAAUUGCUGCCGUGAUUUCUUUGUGGGUUCGUGAUUGGUGUUUGUAGCCGCCGUGUUGUUGUAGAUUCGUGGUAGGUGCUUGUAGUUUUAGCGGUUGGCUCUGCUUCCUGGCAUGCGUAAUCCUCCAUUGUUCCCCAUCUACUCUUGUGUAGGCGCUGGUAGUUGUCUCGAUUUUUUGUUAGAUGUAGAUGUAUGGAUUAGAUGCAGGGUUUCAGAUGAGUGUUUUUGUGGUUAGAGUUUGGUGACUUGCGCUGGCAGGUGGUCUUUAUGUUCAUGGAUCCUGUUGGUUUUUUGUUGUAGAUACAUGAAUUUUGGUAGGUUUAGUUGUAGUUAGUUGUUACCAGUGGCCUCUACUGCAUGCAGUGCACAGGUUCCAUGACUUCUGAGUGUUAUCAAUGGCCUCUGGGUGUAUCAGACUUACCCCAGCCUCCAGUUAGCUCUGUUUUUGGUGUAUUUUCCAGGUUAUAUUUUCUAUUUCCCCCUGUGUUCUAGCCCUGUACUUACCCCUAGUUUGUGAGUGUUGGUUCUUAUCAAUGUAUUUUUUUCAGUGCUCAUGUAUUAGAGUGUAAGCACAAUAAUUUAUGUGUUCUUUUGCUAGUAUUUGUUUUCUGAAGUUCAUGUAGGUUAUCUAGAUUUUCUAUUGAAUCAUGCGCUUUUCUCUGUACUUUUAUGUGCUUUGCACUUCAAUUCCUCUAUUCUUUCAUUUUUCUAAUGCUCCUGGUUGAUUGAACCAACCAGGAUUUGCAGUGUAACUCUAUUUGUAUUGAGCCUGUAUUUUACUUAUGUUUCUGUAGUGUAAUUAUCCUAGAGUUACUGCGUAAUUAUGUCCAGAGUUUCAGUGUAAUAUAGGCCAGAGUUACUGUGUAAUUUCCCUGAGUUGCAGUGUAAUUCCCCCCAGAGUUACCGUGUAAUUCUCAUGCUUAUUAUGUACUUGACCCUAGAGUUUUACACACUGUGAUUACCCUAGAGUUACUGUGUAAUUACCCCAGAGUUCCAGUGUAAUAUACCUUAGAGUUGUUGUGCAAUUUGUCCCAGAGUUUCAAUGUAAUUACCCCCAGAGUUACUGUGUAAUUCACAUGUUGCUUACAUGUUAUCCCAGAGUUAUAAUGUGUCCCAUUUUUUACAGUGUAAUUUUGUAUGAUUCGGUUAUGUAAUUCCUGAAAUUUUGGCUUUCAUUCUUGUUGAUUGUUCGAGUGUCGUUGUGGUGCAGUUAUGAACUAUGUCCUGUUUACAGUGUAAUCUUCCCAAGAAUUCCAGUGUAACCCUAGUUUUAAACGCCUUGCUUAUUCUAUGUAUUUACAGUGUAAUGUUCCCAAUAAUGUAGUGUUAUCCCAGAUUUACAGUCUAAGCCCCCUUGCUUUUAUUUCUGUAUUUAUAGUGUAAUUUCCGCCCUAAUUUUUAGUGUAAUACUCAUGCUUUAGCUCUGCAAUUUAUAGGUUUUAGUUUAAUGGGUAAGCUUCGGAAAGUCUCUCGCCAGGACGUUACAUUAGUAUCAUCUUCGGAAUUUGCAUUUGUGGGUUCAGUUCUGUUGCGCCUUCUUCGCUUGGUGUAGCUUCGUUUUGCAUUUCUUCCAAUGUCUGCAGCAGAGUUCUCAAGAUGUAUGUUUCUCAAUUUUUUGCCAGGUCAUGAGUUUUUCACCAAUAGUUUCACUUACUCUAGAAUGAAUUGUUGGGUUGUUGGUGUUAUGCGUUUUGUUACUGGAGUCCUCCACUCUUGAUUGUGUUGUUGAUGUAGCCCCAUUUGCCGAAUGUACCUGCAAUCACCACGUUAAGUUAACUGGAGUUCUUGUUGGAAUAGCAUACUAAGAAAACACUCUUUUUUCUCAAGAGGUUUGGUACCACUACUGUAUUUCAAAGUUGCUUUUCUGACCUUGUACAUAAUGUCUUAUUGUAGGAGUGCUGUAAAAGAAAACGAUUCCUACAGUGUAUUUUUUCUGUGAGCUAUUUUGAUUUUGAUGUACCCAACAUUUUCUUCUGUGUUUUUGCCAUUUAGUGAUACUCACAUUUUGAAUGAGAUCUUCUUGUAAUAGUGACAGUAGAUUGUCUUUUGUUAUUGUUCUUCUCAUGCUCCCCAUCUACAUUUUUUUAAAGAAUUAUCUGUGAAUUUACUGGAUCUGUAUAAAAAGUCGAGAAUUAGGAGGAUAGUGGUCUUUCCGGUGUAUUUUUAAAGUUCAUGGGUAUUUUAGUUCCCUUGGUAUUUCCAGCAUAGAUUUUUUGGUGAUUUACACUGUAUUUAUCAUGGUAGUAUCGCUGUAGUUACUCUGCAUUUUUAGUCUGUAUUUACACUGUAAGUUCAUAUGCUUUUUCAGUGUACUUGCUAUGUAGUUUAGUAGUUUUAUGCACCGUUCUUACACUGUAAAUCCAGGGCAUUUUCAUUGUACUUGAUCUGUACUUUCACUGAUCAUUGUACUUGUAAGUUCCGCGACAUUUGGUAAUUCUAUGUUUUUUUUUUCAGUGUAAGCCCAUGUGUUUCUACAUUGUCCAGGAAGUUACAAUGUAUAUAUAGGGGCACUUUACAGUGUAGUUCCUGGGUUAUUUCGCUGUAAAUCCUGAUCAACAACAUUCUUACAAUGUAAAUGUUCAUUUUUACAGUCUAAUUUACACUGUAUAUUCUAGGCGAUUUCCAUGGUAUUUUUUGUGCAGUUACACUGUAAUUCCUAGGUACUUCACCGUGUAAGCUGACAAGUUUUGGCAAGUUUAAAUCUCUUGUAGUUUUCAGUGUCAA